rnacentral:rRNA from 1 species
UACGGGGGGGGCAAGCGUUGUUCGGAAUUACUGGGCGUAAAGGGCUCGUAGGCGGCCAACUAAGUCAGACGUGAAAUCCCUCGGCUUAACCGGGGAACUGCGUCUGAUACUGGAUGGCUUGAGAUUGGGAGAGGGAUGCGGAAUUCCAGGUGUAGCGGUGAAAUGCGUAGAUAUCUGGAGGAACACCGGUGGCGAAGGCGGCAUCCCGGACCAAUACUGACACUGAGGAGCGAAAGCCAGGGGAGCAAACGGG